rnacentral:rRNA from 1 species
UACCAGCACCCCGAGUGGUCGGGACGAUUAUUGGGCCUAAAGCAUCCGUAGCCGGUUCUACAAGUCUUCCGUUAAAUCCACCUGCUUAACAGAUGGGCUGCGGAGGAUACUACGUGGCUAGGAGGCGGGAGAGGCAAGCGGUACUCAGUGGGUAGGGGUAAAAUCCUUUGAUCCAUUGAAGACCACCAGUGGCGAAGGCGGCUUGCCAGAACGCGCUCGACGGUGAGGGAUGAAAGCUGGGGGAGCAAACCGG